GUAGACACUGCAUGAUUUCAAGUAUCAGUGUCCAUUCUAACAGUAGGUAUCACAGGAGGAAAAAUUAAUAGACAAACAAGAAUUUUGAUAUUUCCCUCCUCUCCCACCUCAAACCAGAUGCUACAGAUAAGCCAGCUCCUUGGCUGAUAGCCAGCCCUGCUGAUUUCUGGCAUUCACCUCCUUCUUCUUAGCUCUGUUUCGCCCCCUCAUACAGUUCUGCUCCCAGGAGUCCGCCAGAAACAGUGGGUGAGGGAAAAGGAUUAGCAAAGAGAAAAAUGAAGAAACUACCACUUUUAUUAGGAAGUAGUGCCCUGUUUCAGAUUGGCAUUUGCCUGAAAAUAGACCAUUCAGUCGUGCAGACAAUAAUAAAUUAUAUGUAAACACCAAACACCCACGCACAUUUUUUGAACAUGUAAAUAUUCGUGUGACCCAUGUGGAUUUGGAGAUGGUGUGACAACACCCUAAGUACAGCUUAAUGGUUAAGAACUAGGGAUUGAGCACAAGCUCUACUGAUUACUAGCUACCCGACCUCAGGCAAGCUACAUGACCUUUUCUAUUAUUCAGUUUCCUCCUCUAUAAAAUGGGAAUAACAUAGUAUUCACCUCACGGACCAGUGGUGAGGAUUGAGUGAAACACUAUAGACUCUCCUUUACAGCAGCCUGGAAGGAAACAGUGACCCUAGUAAGACCCUUUUUCUUCUCUGCUUUCCUCUCUCCUUGUCAAAGACUUAUCUUCCCCUCUCCCACAGGAGCACCUGAUUCAAUGCAGACUUCCUCCUUCAAGGCAUUUAGCCCAAAGGACUUGCCCUCCCCUCCUUGUACGGGGGGAGCUAUGUUCUUGGCUUGGAGACAGAUUCUUAAAUUGUCUUCUGCAGUUGCAAGUGACUCAGCGUUGCUUAGAGAUUUAAUUAACCAGCAAUAGGAGGCUUAAAAGAAGCAAACCUCUGGGGACUUUUGCUCUUCUUUGGUUGGCUGUGAGCAGAGGGAGAAUGGAACAAAAAGGAACCUUCCAGAACUUCACUGUCCAAUACGGUAGCCACAGUAGCUAUUGGGCACUUGAAAUGUGAUUGUCCAAAUCAAGAUGUGCUGUAAGCAUAAAAUACGUACCAGAUUUUGAAGAUUUGUAUGAAACAAGAAGGGAAGAGGUCAUGUAAGCACACACUAAGAUGGAGGUAAACUACAAACCAAGAGAAGAGGCCUCAGAUCGAAACCUACCCUGUCAGCACCUUGAUCUUGGACUUCAGCCUCUGGAACCACGAGAAAUGAAUUUCUGAUGUUUAAGACACUGGUUUAUGGUGUUUGUUAUGGUGGCUCAAACAGACUAAGACAAACACUAUACCACAUCCUCCUGCUCAGCACAGAAUUGUAGGGAAUGGGUGUGUAAAUGUCUAGGCCACGAUAAACACUAAACACUACAAUGAAUGCUGAAAUAAUACA